CGUAGGUGGCGAGCGUUGUCCGGAAUUACUGGGUGUAAAGGGCGUGUAGGCGGGAAUGCAAGUCAGAUGUGAAAUGCCGAGGCUUAACCUCGGAGCUGCAUCUGAAACUGUGUUUCUUGAGUGUCGGAGAGGAAAGUGGAAUUCCCAGUGUAGCGGUGAAAUGCGUAGAUAUUGGGAGGAACACCAGUGGCGAAGGCGACUUUCUGGACGAUAACUGACGCUGAGGCGCGAAAGCGUGGGGAGCAAACAGGAUUAGAUACCCUGGUAGUCCACGCCGUAAACGAUGGAUACUAGGUGUAGGGGGUAUCGACCCCCCCUGUGCCGCAGUUAACACAAUAAGUAUCCCACCUGGGGAGUACGGCCGCAAGGUUG
rnacentral:rRNA from 1 species